UCUUUUAAUCAUGUUGUAAGUUAAAUCAAUAAUUAUGUCGUAAUUAUGUCUAUAUUUUGUAGGCAGAUGAAUUGGGGACGGAACCAACAUUUAUGGCUACAUUUGAACGCACCUUUCAGAAAAAAGAUAAGACAUGGACUGGCAAUCGAGCAAAAGCUAUUAAGGACAAAUAUGAUGAACUUGUAAUGACCACGGCUGCUGCUAGUGGUGAUGGUGAUGGUGUUGCUGCGUCCGAGUCAUCGGUUGACAGUAUGGCAUUAUGGAUGGAGGCAUCGGGUGGAAUGAGAAGAGGUCAAA